UACGGAGGGAGCUAGCGUUGUUCGGAAUUACUGGGCGUAAAGCGCACGUAGGCGGCUUUGUAAGUUAGAGGUGAAAGCCUGGAGCUCAACUCCAGAAUUGCCUUUAAGACUGCAUCGCUUGAAUCCAGGAGAGGUGAGUGGAAUUCCGAGUGUAGAGGUGAAAUUCGUAGAUAUUCGGAAGAACACCAGUGGCGAAGGCGGUGCUCUGGGCCGGAACUGACACUGAGGAGCGAAAGCGUGGGUAGCAAACAGG
rnacentral:rRNA from 1 species